rnacentral:rRNA from 1 species
AAUUUUUGACAAUGGGGGAAACCCUGAUCCAGCCAUCUCGCGUGUAUGAUGAAGGCCUUCGGGUUGUAAAGUACUUUUGGCAGAGAAGAAAAGGUAUCUCCUAAUACGAGAUACUGCUGACGGUAUCUGCAGAAUAAGCACCGGCUAACUAAGUGCCAGCAUCCGCGGUAAUACGUAGGGUGCAAGCGUUAAUCGGAAUUACUGGGCGUAAAGCGUGUGUAGGCGGUUCGGAAAAAAAGAUGUGCAAUCCAAGAGCUCAACCUUGGAACUGCAUUUUUAACUGCCGAGCUAGAGUAUGUCAGAGGGGGGUAGAAUUCCACGUGUAGCAGUGAAAUGCGUAGAUAUGUGGAGGAAUACCGAUGGCGAAGGCGACUCUCUGGACUGCAACUGACGCUGAGGCACGAAAGCGUGGGUAGCGAACAGG